rnacentral:sRNA from 1 species
GUUUGAAGAUAAAGAGGAUGAGGAAUUGUUUAAAGAGUUAUAUAGAUUUACAAAACCAUCUUUUUAUUUGUCAUUGAGGCAUCUGAACUCUGCAUAUGCGAAGCACUUGAAAGCAAAAUGGGAAGCAACUCAACGCCAACGUGAACGUGAACGCCAACGUAAACGUGAACGUGAUCGCCAACGUGAACUUGACAGUAUACGUGAACGUGAAGGUUUACCGUGACUUCUCUCGUAUUAUAAGAUAAUAAACUGAGUGAAUCGCAA